GACGAACGCUGGCGGCGUGCUUAACACAUGCAAGUCGAACGGAAAGGCCCCUUUGGGGGUACUCGAGUGGCGAACGGGUGAGUAACACGUGAGUAACCUGCCCUUGCCUUCGGGAUAACUUCAGGAAACUGGGGCUAAUACCGGAUAGGAAUCCUUGCUGCAUGGUGGGGGUUGGAAAGCUUCGGCGGUUUUGGAUGGACUCGCGGCUUAUCAGCUUGUUGGUGGGGUAGUGGCUUACCAAGGCUUUGACGGGGAGCCGGCCUGAGAGGGCGACCGGCCACAUUGGGACUGAGAUACGGCCCAGAUUCCUACGGGAGGCAGCAGUGGGGAAUAUUGCACAAUGGGCGGAAGCCUGAUGCAGCAACGCCGCGUGCGGGAUGACGGCCUUCGGGUUGUAAACCGCUUUCAGCAGGGGCGAAGCUUGUGGUGACGGUACCUGCAGAAGAAGCACCGGCUAACUACGUG
rnacentral:rRNA from 1 species